UGGGGAAUAUUGCACAAUGGGCGCAAGCCUGAUGCAGCCAUGCCGCGUGUGUGAAGAAGGCCUUCGGGUUGUAAAGCACUUUCAGCGAGGAGGAAGGGUAGUGUGUUAAUAGCACAUUGCAUUGACGUUACUCGCAGAAGAAGCACCGGCUAACUCCGUGCCAGCAGCCGCGGUAAUACGGAGGGUGCAAGCGUUAAUCGGAAUUACUGGGCGUAAAGCGCACGCAGGCGGUUUGUUAAGUCAGAUGUGAAAUCCCCGCGCUUAACGUGGGAACUGCAUUUGAAACUGGCAAGCUAGAGUCUUGUAGAGGGGGGUAGAAUUCCAGUUGUAGCGGUGAAAUGCGUAGAGAUCUGGAGGAAUACCGGUGGCGAAGGCGGCCCCCUGGACAAAGACUGACGCUCAGGUGCGAAAGCGUGGGGAGCAAACA
rnacentral:rRNA from 1 species